rnacentral:misc_RNA from 1 species
ACCAUUUGCUGGUGCUGCUGUAUCAGCAAUUACACUCGUUGUGGCCUUUGGCUUUGCUGUCUCUCGUCCAUGUUUAACACUCGAGAUGGUGGAAGAUGCUGUUCAUUUUCUUAGCAAAGAAACCAUGGUCCAGGCAAUUGCUCGAUCUGCUACGAAGACCAGAAAUGCUUUAUCCGGAACAUACUCUGCCCCCCAGAGGUCUGCUAGCUCAGCUGCUCUAUUGGUUGGUGAUCCAACAAUGAUGAGGGAUAGGGGAGGCAAUUUCGUGCUUCCACGAGCAGAUGUCAUGAAAUUAAGAGACCGUCUUAUAAAUGAAGAACUGGCUGCUGGCUCAAUUUUCUGCAGGUUAAGAAAUAGAACACUUAGGCAUGAAGCAACUAGUGAUGUAGGUCACCGAAG